CCUACGGGAGGCAGCAGUGAGGAAUAUUGGUCAAUGGGCGCGAGCCUGAACCAGCCAAGUAGCGUGCAGGAUGACUGCCCUACGGGUUGUAAACUUCUUUUAUAAAGGAAUAAAGUGAGGCACGUGUGCCUCUUUGUAUGUGCUUUAUGAAUAAGGAUAGGCUAACUCCGUGCCCGCAGCCGCGGUAAUACGGAGGAUCUGAGCGUUAUCCGGAUUUAUUGGGUUUAAAGGGAGCGUAGAUGGGUUGUUAAGUCAGUUGUGAAAGUUUGCGGCUCAACCGUAAAAUUGCAAUUGAUACUGGCAGUCUUGAGUACAGAUGGGGUAGGCGGAAUUCAUGGUGUAGCGGUGAAAUGCUGAGAUAUCACGAAGAACUCCGAUUGCGAAGGCAGCUUACUAAGCUGCCACUGACAUUGAUGCUCGAAAGUGUGGGUAUCAAACAGGAUUAGAUACCCCAGUAGUC
rnacentral:rRNA from 1 species